GACACCACUCGCCCCGUCCCCCUUUUAUUCCUUCUUACUUCUCGAGGGAGAGAGGAGGGGGCGCGGGGCGGACUCUGCGUGUUCCGGAGCGCGAGCUCCGAGUGCACCGAACCUCGUGAACGAGACCUCCUCCCAUCAUUGUUAGCAUGUGCGACUGCCGGCAGGGACUUACAGUGCGUGAGAGUUGUUGACGGCGUGUUGCUCGCUCGACUAGAGAGACAAGACUCUAGACUCCAAAACCCGGAGUUUCGUGUUGUCGGUGGUGUUUUAUAUUACAUAAUAUGGUGAGAGGAUUAUCAGAUUGUAGAUCCGGUUGCCUCAUCACCUACCUACUUACUUACUUACUUGAUAGAUAGAUAAGUAGGUGAUGAUACCAACUUUCG
rnacentral:misc_RNA from 1 species